GCAAGUAUAGUUUCAAACCAAACAUCAGAUUGUGAUUCUGAAAAUAGAAGUUAAACCCUUCUUACUCGCC
rnacentral:tRNA from 1 species